UGAGGCUGUAGCUCAGUGGUAGAUCUCUUGCCUAAUAUGUGCAAGGUCCUGGGUUCAAGCUCCAGCACUGAA
rnacentral:tRNA from 1 species